AGAAUUGAUCUGGUCAGGACGAACGCUGGCGGCGUGCCUAACACAUGCAAGUCGAGCGAGGAGAUCCUCGGGAUGAUCCUAGCGGCGGACGGGUGAGUAACACGUGGGCAACCUGCCUCAUAGAGAGGAAUAGCCUUCCGAAAGGGAGAUUAAUACCUCAUAACAUUGCAGUUUCGCAUGGAACAGCAAUUAAAGGAGUAAUCCGCUAUGAGAUGGGCCCGCGGCGCAUUAGCUAGUUGGUGAGGUAACGGCUCACCAAGGCGACGAUGCGUAGCCGACCUGAGAGGGUGAUCGGCCACAUUGGGACUGAGACACGGCCCAGACUCCUACGGGAGGCAGCAGUGGGGAAUAUUGCACAAUGGGGGAAACCCUGAUGCAAGCAACGCCGCGUGAGUGAUGACGGCCUUCGGGUUGUAAAGCUCUGUCUUCAGGGACGAUAAUGACGGUACCUGAGGAGGAAGCCACGGCUAACUACGUGCCAGCCGCUGC
rnacentral:rRNA from 1 species